rnacentral:rRNA from 1 species
GACGAACGCUGGCGGCGUGCUUAACACAUGCAAGUCGAGCGGUAAGGCCCUUCGGGGUACACGAGCGGCGAACGGGUGAGUAACACGUGAGUAAUCUGCCCAUCACUUCGGGAUAACUCCGGGAAACCGGUGCUAAUACCGAAUAUGACCACUUCAGGCAUCUGAUGGUGGUGGAAAGUUCCGGCGGUGAUGGAUGAGCUCGCGGCCUAUCAGCUUGUUGGUGGGGUAGUGGCCUACCAAGGCUUCGACGGGUAGCCGGCCUGAGAGGGUGACCGGCCACACUGGGACUGAGACACGGCCCAGACUCCUACGGGAGGCAGCAGUGGGGAAUAUUGGACAAUGGGCGAAAGCCUGAUCCAGCAACGCCGCGUGAGGGAUGACGGCCUUCGGGUUGUAAACCUCUUUCAGCAGGGAUGAAGCGCAAGUGACGGUACCUGCAGAAGAAGCACCGGCCAACUACGUG